rnacentral:lncRNA from 1 species
AAAAGACCUGGAUGAAAAAAAAAAGCGCCGCUGAACUCAAAGAACCCAGCUACUCCCUUCCUUCUGGAUCUCCAGCCCACUUCACAAAAACAAACCGAUCUCCAUCCCUCAAAUAAAAAAGCUUGGUCAUCUUUAAAUUGGAAACUAUGGGUUGAAAUUCAAUCUAGGGACUUCACGCUUUCUUCCUCUGGUUGAAGCAAAGAAAGAAACAUUUUCUUCCUUUGAAGAAAUGUUGGAGAACUCUAUAGGGUAUCUCAAAAAACAACCGCCAAACAUUUUUUUAAAGCUCCAUUUUUUCAACUACCCAUUAAAACCACCGUAAAUUCACCGCGUCUCAACAGCGAACCAUUGUUGAGUUUCGAGUUUUCCUGCUAGAUUUCGAGGUCUCAGCUCCGAGGUCCAAUUCGACGGUCUUCGCUCUUUGUUCAAUAUUCUUCUCGGCAGCCACUAUUGAGGUUCCUUUCUUCCGAUGUACUUUUAAUUGAAUACUAAGUUCAUGGAUAUAUGAUUUUGCCUUUAUGUGAUUUGUGAAGUUAGAAUAGUUAUCUUACUAAAUUUGUUCCAUCUUAUUGUUGAGCUUUGCUGGUUUAUUGCUUAAAUUGUUGAUUUUUGAUACACAAUGGGUGUUAGAUUUAGAGGAAAAUUCAUGUUUGACAACUGAUAAUUAGGAGGUAAUUUAUUUGUUAAUGGGUCAUGCUUGUUUGUAAAGAAUCGGUUAUGGGUUGUACUUAUGGUACUCAGGCAUUUCUUUUCAUUUGAUAAGUGUGAUUGUUCUUAUUUGUGUUUGUUCAAUUACCUCUCAAGUGCUGUAUUUUUAUUACAUUUCACUUUCCUCCGAUUGGUUGAGGCAAACGUGAGAACAGGAAAGGAAUCUUAAGAAUAGGAAGCAGACAUGAACUUCAAUAUCUCUGGUUAUAUGAGACAUAUUGUUUCUUAUGCGUUUAUCUUGGUUUGAUUACUGAUGGUAGUAACCUAUAUCCUUUGUACGCAUUGUCUCUGAUUCAAGAAGCAAGUCUUUACACCCCUCAUGAGUCAAAUAAAACCUCCUUAAACUAAAAUCAACUCAAGUGCGCCAUUGUCAAGCAAAAACGACAGUUGCAUGGUUCUCACUUAAUUAAUUUUGUUUAUUUUUAGAAUUAAGACGUGCCAUUUAGCAAAUUUUCAUGACCCUUGCAAAGCUAUAAAUGCAUAGUUGCUUUAGGCUCGUAUAUUUUAUAAUAUUAUCUUCCUAAAUUCUGGUAUGCAUUUCAUGUGACCCAACUCCAAAUCCUCAUAACGUUGAAUAAAAUAUGUUUCAGAUUAUGGGUGCAUUUUAUAUGACGUGGUCCAAAGACAUAUUUUAGACGACGUCAAAUCUUCUUUAAAAAUGAAUAAAAGCAGUUAAAAGUUAAAUGCACAUAGGUUCAAAACGUUUAUAAUCAUAUAACUAGGCCAAUUAUAACAGUUGUGCGACUAUGUUAGAACCACGAAACUCGGGAAUGGCUAACACCUUUUCCCGAGUUAAUAGAAUUUCUUACCCGUAUUUCUGGUUCGCAGACUGUAGUACAGAGUCAUUGUUUUCCUCGAUUCAAGAUUCUACCCGGUGACUUGGGACACCAUAAAUUAUCCUAAGUGGUGGUUCUGAAUCUUUAAAUAAAUAAAUCCCAUUUUGAUUGUCACUUAAAUUGGAAAAAACUCCCUUCCACGCCCUUUGUAGGGCGUAGUGAAAAAAGGAGACAUGACAGCACUAGCGAUUUUGCUGGGGAUCGAACCCAGAAUCUCUGGUUCAGGGUUCAGAAUUUGAGCUUAGAUGAAUUGUUAUAUUUGGCUUUAUCUGUUAUCUGAUUUUAUUAUAUGUUUGAGCCUAAUGUGCUAAAUGUUGCUUUUACCGCUUUGAUAUUAUUUGAAAAGUAUACAAACUGCCGCGAAACUCUUCUCUUCUCAUCUUCGAGGAUGUGCUCGCUUGGUGAGACUCCCUAUUCUGUUAGUGUCGUACCUUGAAAUAAGAAAGAGGCUCGAACAAGUUACUAAGCUGGAUGACCUUUUGAUUCCCAGUACGUAACCCCCUCCUCGACUCGAGUUGUCCGCUCGGGUACACAUGUCUAGAACAAAUGCCCAUGUUUUCAACCUAGAAUGGCUCAGCCUCAUGCCGGAUUCCUAGUAGGAACGUUUGUUUGCAUCAUGUGCACUUGACUUAGGGGACUCAACACAGAGGUUGGGUCCGUCUAGGACAGGUAUACCCCAAAAAAAUAAAAGGCCAUCCUGAUGCAUCUUAUGUGCUACAUGUUGCAUUUAUCUAAGGGUAAAAUGGUCAUUUGACAGAUCAAUGGAUCAAUGAUAGCUGAGGGUAAAUGAAAAAAUGAAUAACAACAACAAAAAAAUAAAGAAGAAAGAAAAAACAAGAAAAAAGAAAAGGAAAGGGUGAAGUGUGAAGAUAAAAUGAGUGGGGCUCAAUUAUAUUCUGUCAUAUUUUGUUAAGGAAAAAAAGCGCUUCAAAUAUUAAAAAAGAUUUUGCACUUUUUCAUCAUUUUCCGAAAAUAAAAAAAAUGGGAAAAGAAAAUCUAAAAAGAGUUUACAUGUUUUCGUCAUUUUUUUUUCAAAAAAAGGGACAAUAUUUUCUCUAAAAUUAAUUAUUUUUUUAAUUCUUGCCUGUAUCUAGUUUGCCCGAACUACGCAAAUCUGAUUCUCGUCUUUCGGGGCGUUAUACGUAGACAACCCACAUAUAGUCCAAUUUUCCUAGUAAAUCUUAGGUUCUUGGCUUUGUGGGGUCAUAGCCAAAUUUUGCACUUCUAGCUACCUUUCGGCCAAAUAAGCCAUUUUACAAAAAUAAUCUCAAUCAUGUUUUGCAUGUGUCUAGUAGGGAAUGUUAUUGUCUUACAUAAUGUUAGUUUAAAUUUUUUCAUACAGGUAUGGAUCUACUUACCGAAGUUUGAGCAUGACAAAUACCCGGUGCCACUGAUCUCAGAAGUUUCUUAAGGAGAUUUUUAUUAUUUUUUUAUGUCGUCUUUUACUUUUUAGUUUUGUAUACUUAUGUCGAGUUUUUUUAUUACUAUUGUAUUUUCUAUUUUGCAUUUGAAAAAGUGUGUUAUAAAAAAAAU